GAUGAACGCUAGCUACAGGCUUAACACAUGCAAGUCGAGGGGAAACGGCAUUAAGUGCUUGCACUUUUUGGACGUCGACCGGCGCACGGGUGAGUAACGCGUACCCAACCUUCCCAUGACUAAGGGAUAACCUGCCGAAAGGCAGACUAAUACCUUAUGGUCUUCACUGACGGCAUCAGAUGUGAAGUAAAGAUUUAUCGGUUAUGGAUGGGGAUGCGUCUGAUUAGCUUGUUGGCGGGGUAACGGCCCACCAAGGCAACGAUCAGUAGGGGUUCUGAGAGGAAGGUCCCCCACAUUGGAACUGAGACACGGUCCAAACUCCUACGGGAGGCAGCAGUGAGGAAUAGUGGUCAAUGGGCGAGAGCCUGAACCAGCCAAGUAGCGUGCAGGAGGACGGCCCUAUGGGUUGUAAACUGCUUUUGUAUGGGGAUAAAGUCAAUCACGUGUGAUUGUUUGCAGGUACCAUACGAAUAAGGACCGGCUAAUUCCGUG
rnacentral:rRNA from 1 species